UACAGAGGUCUCGAGCGUUAGGCGGAAUCACUGGGCUUAAAGCGUGUGUAGGCGGAUCGUUAAGUGCCUUGUGAAAUCCCACGGCUCAACCGUGGAACUGCUUGGCAUACUGGCGGUCUUGAGCAACCUAGGGGCGAGCGGAACAAAUGGUGGAGCGGUGAAAUGCGUAGAUAUCAUUUGGAACGCCAAUGGUGAAAACAGCUCGCUGGGGGUUUGCUGACGCUGAGACACGAAAGCCAGGGGAGCAAACAGGG
rnacentral:rRNA from 1 species